GUAGGGAAUAUUGCGCAAUGGGGGAAACCCUGACGCAGCGACGCCGCGUGAGUGAUGAAGGCCUUCGGGUCGUAAAGCUCUGUUGCAGGGGAAUAAAAAAAUGAAGGUACCCUGUGAGGAAGGAUCGGCUAACUUCGUGCCAGCAGCCGCGGUAAGACGAGGGAUCCUAGCGUUGCUCGGAAUCAUUGGGCGUAAAGAGGGCGUAGGUGGCUUGGUAAGUCAGAUGUGAAAGCCCAGGGCUCAACCCUGGAAGUGCAUUUGAUACUGCUGAGCUUGAGUGUCGGAGAGGUUACCGGAAUACCUGGUGUAGUGGUGAAAUACGUAGAUAUCAGGUGGAACACCGGAGGCGAAGGCGGGUAACUGGACGAACACUGACACUGAGGCCCGAAAGCGUGGGGAUCAAACAGGAUUAGAUACCCUUGUAGUCC
rnacentral:rRNA from 1 species